rnacentral:rRNA from 1 species
AGAGUUUGAUCCUGGCUCAGAACGAACGCUGGCGGCAGGCUUAACACAUGCAAGUCGAACGCCCCGCAAGGGGAGUGGCAGACGGGUGAGUAACACGUGGGAACGUACCCUUUACUACGGAAUAACGCAGGGAAACUUGUGCUAAUACCGUAUGUGCCCUUCGGGGGAAAGAUUUAUCGGUAAAGGAUCGGCCCGCGUUGGAUUAGCUAGUUGGUGGGGUAAAGGCCUACCAAGGCGACGAUCCAUAGCUGGUCUGAGAGGAUGAUCAGCCACAUUGGGACUGAGACACGGCCCAAACUCCUACGGGAGGCAGCAGUGGGGAAUAUUGGACAAUGGGCGCAAGCCUGAUCCAGCCAUGCCGCGUGAGUGAUGAAGGCCUUAGGGUUGUAAAGCUCUUUCACCGGAGAAGAUAAUGACGGUAUCCGGAGAAGAAGCCCCGGCUAACUUCGUGCCAGCCGCCGCGGUAAUAC